CUCGCUGGCAGCGCACAGCCCCGCUCGGCCCCGGCAGCAGCGGGGACAGAGGGAGGGGAGGUCCCCCCCGUCCUCCCCCAGCGCCCCCCGGAGCCCCUCGGGCAGCAGGAGGAUGAGGAAGGGCUGAGGGUGGAGGAGAGGCAGCAGGGAGAGGGUGAGUGGCGGGGGACGAGGGGACAGGGGCGGUGACUGAGCGGGGAAUGGGGCGGUGACGGAGUAGGGAGAGACGGGAGGGGGGAGAGGGAGGGGAGAGCCGGAGGGGAAGGGAAGCGGAGGAAAGAAUUGGGGAAGGAGGAAUGGAAGCAGAGGGGAAGGAAAAUGGAGGGUAAUUAAGUGGUAAUUUAUAGAGGGCGGGGGGGAGUGGGGAAGGGAAAGGCUGAUUGAGAAGGGAAAAAAGAGUGAGAAGGGUGGGGAGAGCCGGGUGGGAAAGGGGGGAAAGGACAAACCUGAUCCAGCCGGGAAAAAGAGAGCGAGAAGGGUGGGAAGAGCCGUCUGGGAAGGGGGAAUAGGAAAAACCUGCUCGAGCCGAGAAAAAGACAGUGAGAAGGGUGGGAAGAGCCGUCUGGGAAGGGGGAAUAGGAAAAACCUGCUCGAGCGGAGAAACAGAGAGUGGAGAAGGGUGGGAAGAGCCGCCGGGAAGGGGCGGAAAGCGGCGGAGGGGGGCGAGGAGGGGAUGAGCGGGAGG
rnacentral:lncRNA from 1 species